GCUACAGGGAAUUGGAUAUUAGAGUCUUAUUUUAAAAGAAAACACUUUUUCUUCUUCAAGUUCCUUCCUUCUUGUCAAGGUUAAAUAACUUUCUCUUCUGGCAUCUUUGUAGAGCCUUGUGAAGCAAGGCUAAGAACUGGAUGUUUACCAGUAGCAUGGCAGAGUUGGAAGAAUAGGUUUAGGAGACAGACAGACUUCGCUGAAGAUUUUUAAGUUGCUACAAACUCACCUUCUUGGAGCCUCACCCGCCUCAUCUUUACAAUGUGGACAAUGAUACAGAGCUUGCAGAGCCAUUAUGAGGAUUAUACAAGAUCAACUUUGUAAAGCAACCAGACAUUUGCAGAGAAGUGGUGCUGUUCUUGGAAGAAGCUGUAUUACAAGUGAAGAUGAAUCUGCAAAGCAGGAAAAUGAGAACCUCUCCUAAGGGGUCAGAACCCUCUGAUCCAUCUGAGCCAUUGAGUAACAGUUGGUUGAGUUAACAAAAGGAAGUAGGCAUGAUCCAUCAGUACCCACCAUGAAGAGAAUGAAACAUGCCUCAAAGUCGUCCCACCACUUGGUUGCUGAUUUCUCUAUGUCCUCCAGAAUUCAUGAAGAAAUGCUGUGACAUGCCUCCCAUGGGGGACCAUGAACUCAUAACAGAUGACUGUGAUACUUCCCUGGGGAAGGCUGUGGGGAGGUA